AACAGGAUUAGAUACCCUGGUAGUCCAUGCCGUAAACGAUGUCUACUAGCCGUUGGGGCCUUUGAGGCUUUAGUGGCGCAGCUAACGCGAUAAGUAGACCGCCUGGGGAGUACGGUCGCAAGACUAAAACUCAAAUGAAUUGACGGGGGCCCGCACAAGCGGUGGAGCAUGUGGUUUAAUUCGAUGCAACGCGAAGAACCUUACCUGGUCUUGACAUAGUAAGAACUUUCCAGAGAUGGAUUGGUGCCUUCGGGAACUUACAUACAGGUGCUGCAUGGCUGUCGUCAGCUCGUGUCGUGAGAUGUUGGGUUAAGUCCCGCAACGAGCGCAACCCUUUUCCUUAUUUGCCAGCGGGUUAAGCCGGGAACUUUAAGGAUACUGCCAGUGACAAACUGGAGGAAGGCGGGGACGACGUCAAGUCAUCAUGGCCCUUACGACCAGGGCUACACACGUGCUACAAUGGUCGGUACAAAGGGUUGCUACCUAGCGAUAGGAUGCUAAUCCCAUAAAACCGAUCGUAGUCCGGAUCGCAGUCUGCAACUCGACUGCGUGAAGUCGGAAUCGCUAGUAAUCGCGAAUCAGAAUGUCGCGGUGAAUACGUUCCCGGGCCUUGUACACACCGCCCGUCACACCAUGGGAGUGGGUUGCACCAGAAGUAGCUAGUCUAACCUUCGGGAGGACGGUUACCACGGUGUGAUUCAUGACUGGGGGUGAAGUCGUAACAAGGUAACC
rnacentral:rRNA from 1 species